rnacentral:rRNA from 1 species
UAAGUAAGUCUCAAGGUUAACCUGCAGUCUCAGUACGAGCUGACUUAAAGUGAAACCGCAAAAGGCUCAGUAAACCGGUCAUAGUUUACCGGAUAUAUGCCACUCACGUGCAUAACUGUGGUAAUUCUAGAGCUAAUACAUGCAACCAAGUCCCGACCAGCGAUGGAAAGGACGCUAUUAUUGGAUCAGAACCAUUCGCCCGGGUCGCCCGGGCGUCUGCUUGAUGACUCUAGAUAACACCACAGAUCGCACGGUCACGGUACCGGCGACGUAUCCAUCAAAUGUCUGACUUAUCAUGUGUCGAUGGGAGACUCUGUGUCUACCAUGGGGCUCACGGGGAACGGGGAAUCACGGUUCGAUUCCAGAGAGGGAGCCUGAAAAACGGCUACCACAUCCUAGGAAGGCAGCAGGCACGCAAAUUACCCACUCCCGGCACGGGGAGGUAGUGACAAAAAAUAACGAUACGGGACUCAUCCUAGGCCCCGUAAUCGGAAUGAGAACACCCUAAAUCCUUUAACGAGGAUCUAUUGGAGGGCAAGUCUGGUGCCAGCAGCCGCGGUAAUUCCAUCUCCCAUAGCGUAUAUAAAAGUUGUUGCGGGUAAAAAGCUCGCAUGUGGUUCUGCGUGCCACGCUGUCGGAUCACCGCCUGUCGGUGCAACUGGCAUGCCGUGGCAUGUCCUGUCGGUGGUCGACGGGAUUCACGGAGCGACCCACUCGCUCACGCGUGUGGGUCGACGCCGCGUGUCGGUCCUCGUUGGACGGGUCAAUCCUACCGCGAUGACUCUUAAACGAGCAGUCGAGGGGAAGCCGACACUGUUUACAUUGGAACAAAUUAGAGAGCCUCAAAGAAAGGAUCAUGAAAGCCAGCCUGGAAAAGUGGGGGCAUGGAAAAAAUGGGAACAAGGAACCUUGGGUUCUAUUUUUGUUGGGUUUUCGGGAAUCCCAGGGUAAUGGAUCCAAUAAAGGAAAAGGGCGGGGGGCAUUUCGUAUUGGCGAACGUUAAAAGGGGAAAAUUCUUGGGAUCCGUCCCCAAAAAGCCCAUUAAAAACGAAAAGCAUUUUGCCCAAGUAUGGCCUUAAUUUGAUCAAGAAACCAAAAGUUUAAAAGGUUUCCAAAGGGGAACAAAAAAACCGCCCCUAAAUUCCUAACCCUAAAAACAAAUGCCCGGCAACGGGAAUUCCGCCCAAAUUUUCUUCCCCAAUGGACCCGCCGGGGGGAAAGUUUUCCCCCGGGGAAAACCAAAAGACUUUUUUGGGUUUUCCCGGGGGGAAAAAAUUUGGUUGGCCAAAGUUUAAAAAACUUAAAAGGGAAAUGGCCCGGGAAGGGGGCCCCCCGCCCCGGGGAGG